AACGAACGCUGGCGGCAGGCCUAACACAUGCAAGUCGAACGCCCCGCAAGGGGAGUGGCGCACGGGUGAGUAACGCGUGGGAAUAUACCCAGCAGUACGGAACAACCCCGGGAAACCGGGGCUAAUACCGUAUACGUCCUCAGGGAGAAAGAUUUAUCGCUGUUGGAUUAGCCCGCGUCGGAUUAGCUAGUUGGUGAGGUAAUGGCUCACCAAGGCGACGAUCCGUAGCUGGUCUGAGAGGAUGACCAGCCACACUGGGACUGAGACACGGCCCAGACUCCUACGGGAGGCAGCAGUGGGGAAUAUUGGACAAUGGGCGGCAAGCCUGAUCCAGCCAUGCCGCGUGAGUGAUGAAGGCC
rnacentral:rRNA from 1 species